UCAAAUGACCCUUAUGUCCUCAUCCUGAAUAUGAUGUACUUGGACUUUCAAGGGUAAUCUGAUCAGUUUGCUCUAAGAUGUUGUGCAGGUAGCAGGACCAUUUCCAGGAAGAGGAGGUGUAGCCAUUUUAAGAGGCCAGCUUGUGCACACCUCGACUAAUUCCACUGCCUGCUACCUCCCAUCAGCAGAAGCACCAGCCUUCUGGAAGCCUAGAGAUAAAGCUGUGAGCAUUUGCCGCAACACAAGCAGCCAUCGCCUCUUUCUUGGUAGCAUUUUCUUUUCCCAUCAGCACGUUUUCAAGUAUGCUUGUCCCAAAUAAUAUUGGUUCUUGACCAACCAUACCUAUCUGAGUCCUCAGCCACUUCACUUGCAAUUUUCUUACAUCAUGACCAUCCAAGGAUCAUAAAACCUUUCUAUAAGAGCAAAAAUUGUUGACUUUCCACCUCCACUGAUGCCCACUAAUGCUAAUGUCCUAGAAGCUGGAACAACUAAGUUAAGAGACUGGAGAAUCUGGACAGUUGGACGAGCCGGAUAUGCAAAGGAGCGGGAAUGGUAGACAAAAGAUUGAAAUGAAGUUGAUUGACUCUAAGGAAGCACGCAAUGUUACUUGAAAAAAAGUUUGUUCAAGAAAGCAGAUGAGUUUUCAACUCAGACCGGAGCAGAUGUUGGGGUUAUGCUCCUUUCACCAAGGGGGAAACUACAUUACUAUAGCUCCACAAGUAUAGAAAAAAUAGCGAAUAAAUUUCUUGAAUUGAUACUAGACAAUAGCCAGUGUGAUCAUGCUGAUUGGGCAAAUCCAAUGUCAUUGAGGCAUUUGAAGAUCUUUGCAGAGAGGUAGAAGCAUUGAAAAUCAUGCACCUGGCUCAGAAAUAUCGACAGAUAAACACAGGUUGGAGCAGAUGAUGGAAAUCAAGCUGCGGUUGGACAAACUUAAAAAAGAAAGAAAAGGUGAUAUUCCGGCUGCUGCCCCGAGCCAGAAGACGAGGAUAGUUCUUGAACUCAAAAUUAUCAUGGCGGUGGUAAUUGGAGUUCUUGAAUAUUGAGUUGUGUUUGGAGGAAAGUUUACCAGCUAUCGAGUCUUUUGAUAUGAGCAAUUCUUGUAUUGUUAUUAAGUCAGUUUUUUCAUUUGUCUCAUCUUUAGAGCCUUUAAUGAUGAUUUGUGUUAUCAGAUUUAUAAAUCAAUCAAAAUCUUUUUAUUGAACUA